rnacentral:rRNA from 1 species
UGCAGUCGAGCGACGGAUAAGGAGCUUGCUCCUUUGAAGUUAGCGGCGGACGGGUGAGUAACACGUGGGUAACCUACCUAUAAGACUGGGAUAACUUCGGGAAACCGGAGCUAAUACCGGAUAACAUUUAGAACCGCAUGGUUCUAAAGUGAAAGAUGGUUUUGCUAUCACUUAUAGAUGGACCCGCGCCGUAUUAGCUAGUUGGUAAGGUAACGGCUUACCAAGGCGACGAUACGUAGCCGACCUGAGAGGGUGAUCGGCCACACUGGAACUGAGACACGGUCCAGACUCCUACGGGAGGCAGCAGUAGGGAAUCUUCCGCAAUGGGCGAAAGCCUGACGGAGCAACGCCGCGUGAGUGAUGAAGGGUUUCGGCUCGUAAAACUCUGUUAUUAGGGAAGAACAAAUGUGUAAGUAACUGUGCACAUCUUGACGGUACCUAAUCAGAAAGCCACGGCUAACUACGUGCCAGCAGCCGCGGUAAUACGUAGGUGGCAAGCGUUAUCCGGAAUUAUUGGGCGUAAAGCGCGCGUAGGCGGUUUCUUAAGUCUGAUGUGAAAGCCCACGGCUCAACCGUGGAGGGUCAUUGGAAACUGGGAAACUUGAGUGCAGAAGAGGAAAGUGGAAUUCCAUGUGUAGCGGUGAAAUGCGCAGAGAUAUGGAGGAACACCAGUGGCGAAGGCGACUUUCUGGUCUGUAACUGACGCUGAUGUGCGAAAGCGUGGGGAUC